GAUGAACGCUGGCGGCGUGCCUAAUACAUGCAAGUCGAGCGAACAGACGAGGAGCUUGCUCCUCUGACGUUAGCGGCGGACGGGUGAGUAACACGUGGAUAACCUACCUAUAAGACUGGGAUAACUUCGGGAAACCGGAGCUAAUACCGGAUAAUAUAUUGAACCGCAUGGUUCAAUAGUGAAAGACGGUUUUGCUGUCACUUAUAGAUGGAUCCGCGCCGCAUUAGCUAGUUGGUAAGGUAACGGCUUACCAAGGCGACGCUGCGUAGCCGACCUGAGAGGGGGUGCGGCCACAGUGGAACUGAGACACGGUCCAGACUCCUACGGGAGGCAGAAGUAGGGAAUCUUCGGCAAUGGGCGAAAGCUUGACGGAGCAACGCCGCGUGGGUGAUGAAGGUCUUCGGAUCGUAAAACUCUGUUAUGGGGGAAGAACAAAUGUGUAAGUAACUAUGCACGUCUUGACGGUACCUGAUCAGAAAGCAACGGCUAACUACGUG
rnacentral:rRNA from 1 species